GACGAACGCUGGCGGCGUGCUUAAUACAUGCAAGUCGAACGGAAAGGCCCUGUUUUUGUGCGGUGCUCGAGUGGCGAACGGGUGUGUAUCACGCGAGUAACCUGCCCUUGACUUUGGGAGAACUUCAGUAAACUGGGGCUAAUAUCGCAUAUAAGAUCCUUCUGCAUGGUGUUGGUUGGUAAGUUUCGGCGGUUGGGGAUGGACUGGCGGCUUAUCAGCUUGUUGGUGGGGUAGUGGCUUACCAAGGCUUUGAGGGGUAGCCGGCCUGAGAGGGUGACCGGCCACAUUGGGACUGAGAUACGGCCCAGACUCCUACGGGAGGCAGCAGUGGGAAAUAUUGCACAAUGGGCGGCAGCCUGAUGCAGCAACGCCGCGUGCGGGAUGACGGCCUUCGGGUUGUAAACCGCUUUCGCCUGUGACGAAGCGUGAGUGACGGUAAUGGGUAAAGAAGCACCGGCUAACUACGUG
rnacentral:rRNA from 1 species